AAAAAAAAUCAGACCGCAUCUCCGCCCCCAAAUCCACGCCCAAUCCCCUCCACCAGACCGCCGCCGCCGCCAAACCUUCCCACGGCCGCCGCGCGCUGCCGCUCCAAAUCUUCCCACCACCGUCGCGCGCUGCCGCAUCCAAAGCUUCCCACCGCCGCUGCGUGGCCGCCUUCCACUCAGUCCACCACCGGCGUAGCCCCUCACCACCGCAACCCCUCUAUCGCCCACAAAUCGAGACCCUCCACAGGACUGCAAGGCCUUCGCCCCCAACCAUCCCACCACCGACGGCAGCUCUCCAAAUGAGCACUUCCGCCUUCGCCCUCCAUCACGGCAGCCCCUCCGCCCCUCCACCGCCCCCAACAACCAACCCACUGCUGCCGACCACUACUGUCGUCGCCCCACUCCAUAGCGGCGCCGCCGAGCACCCGAUUGACACGGAGCAGCACCGUCAUCGCCGAGCCACCCCACCGGCGGCCACCAUCCUCGCCACCAACCUACUCGCACACUUACUCCUCGAGCAGGCCUCCCCGGAAGUUUCACCGAGCACCAAGCCGCGGAUCCGCCUCCUCCACACGCGCCCCCGAAGCAGCAGGUCGUCGACCCUCUCCUCAACAUCCUUUCCGUGGACUUCACUGCCUCCUAUACUUCAUUUGACAGGCAAUCUUAGUGAAAUUGGUCAAGAAUGGACAAGAGUUGGAUGGGGAUUACGAUGAGAUGCUCAAUCUUAGUGACCAUGAUGAGGUUCAACCUGAUGAUGUUCAAGAGGAGAUCGACCUAGAUGAUUACGAUGAGAUGCUCGAGUUCUUAGGUCCCAAACGACUAGAGAUGUUGAUGACAUGCCAAGUGACAGCAUUGAAGAGCAUGAAGUUGGAAGUGGACAAGUCCAUGACGAAAGCAGGAAUGCGACCACAAGCAAGCUGAGAGAAACCAAUAACCAAUGGCCUGCCCCUACCUAUUUGUACAGAGGUUUGCCUAUUUGUACUACUGUACUAUGUAUAGUACAGAGCUUUGCCUACUUGUAUACUACUGCACUGUUUAUAGUACAGAGUUUUGCCUAUUUGUACACAGUUUUAACUAUUUGUUCAAUAUAGUACUGUAUAGAGUUUUGCCUAUUUGUCGAGUUUAACUCAUGCAAAAAAAGAUUCGAACUCAGAGUACUAUAUUAACUCCAGAGAUACAUGUUUAACUCAGGUUUAAUUAGGCAUAGCUUUCACUAGUAAGUUGUAUUUUUUAGACUAAGCAUCUUUUGCAAGUUCAUUGUACAGGUUUUUGUUUUGCUUAUUUGCACAUGAAGAUUUGUGUAUGUGUACUUCAAACAAAUCUUGCUUGAUCUAAUGAUGUAACCUUGCUUGCUGUGAUGAUGAGAUGCUGCACAUUUAGAAGAGUUAUAUUUAUGCCGACGAGUUAAAAACUGAAGCAUGUCAAAAUCUUUAAUGUGCUAAUUUGAAAUCUGAAAGGAGAGCUCCAUUUUGAGUUUUCUAUUUGUUG